CAUCCUUGGGCUGGGCGCCAUGGCUCAUGCCUGUAGUCCCAGCACUUUGGGCAUGGCAUUCUUGCCUUUGAGGGGUCGACUUCAGUUGUCUUAUACGUCCCUGCUGAAGCAUGUGUACCUUUUCCCUGUGAUAUACAAACCCUGGGUCUGGGAGUUGACGGUGUGGGGAUGCACCGCCUCAAGGCCAUCCGAGACAUAGCUUCUGUUUUCAAGUCCCCAUUAAAUGUUUCUUUGUGAGAUACUGGACUUGUCAGACUCUUUUUGACCCCUUAGCUCCCUUGGUCUUUGGGGGCAGGUCUGCAUAUACCUGCUCACUGAAGAGCAGUAUGUUUGGGACCAGUAUCUCCAGGAUUAUGAUGGUCUCUCUUCCAGGAAUCUACAGGAGGAAGGAAGCUAGACGUUGCAGCUGGUCUUGGAACUUCAACUGGUGUUCGCAGUUUCCCUUUUUCACUAAGCACUUUGCUUUCCCCCCGUUGUUUUCCUGGAAAGAUUCCAGGGGUGGAGGGUAGCAGGGCCAUCUCGGGAUGGGGUCCUUCAUCUAGUACCACAUAGUACCACAGCCCACCCACCGUCAGUUCCACCAAGCUCCCGUAGCCUACCAUGUUCUCAUAAUGAUUUACCUGGAUGUUUUAAUCCAGUUAGUUAAGGAAUUGUUAGCAGACAACCUGCAGAAAGCCUGGAUAUGUAAUACUGGGGGAGGUGGGCCUGGGGUCGUGCUGAGGUCGGUGUCCCCAUGACCUUGUGAUUCUCACUCUUGGUUCCUGUUGUCCAGACCAAAGCCUUCCCCACCCCAUGAAGAUUCACAGCCCUUCAUGACCUUGGGGGCAACGUGUUGCUCAGAUUUCAUGGAAUCUGGAUCCAGGUGGCUUCUUCCCUGUUGUGGUUUGACUGUGAACUCAUCAAAAUGGCUAAAAUUUUUAUUUUAUUGUACUAUUUAUGUAUUUUGAGACGGGGUAUCUCUCUGCUGACCAGGCUGGAGUGCAGUGGUACAGUCACGGCUCACUGCAGCCUGACCUGUCUGGCUCAAGUGAACCUCAGCCUCCCGAGAAGCUGGGAUUACAGGCACACGUCACCAUGCCCGGAUAACUUCGGUACUUUUUUUUUUUUAGACGGAGUCUCGCUCUGUCACCAGCCUGGAGUGCACUGACACGAUCUUGGCUCACUGCAAC
rnacentral:lncRNA from 10 species